GGGCAGAUGCUUGCAGCCUUCUGAAGUUGUCUGGAGUUACUCUGUGUAUUGUGGCUCUCUCAAGUCCUACACUUAAGAAACAGGAAAGAAAUUAUUUUUAUAAUACCUGCUGUUUCUAGAUGGCCUCCUCCAUGCCUUUGUGUAACUUCUCAGGUAUUAAUAAUAGUAUUUUAGGGAUAAAAAUGAUUUACUGUUCAAUGCGUUUUGGAUAGAUGCAAGCGAAAUAUUGCACAAGUACGUUUUAAGCACCUAAGUGCGUUGUGCUUUAAUAGAAACAAGAAUUUCAAUGGAGGACAGGUAUAUUAGGCUGGAGAAGAAAAUGUAAGUUCUGGCUUAUUCUACCUAUAAACCAGGGGAAGAAAGAAGAAGCUUUACUGCAAGUCAUGCAGAGCUGCAUUGUCUUUUAAGAUAUUUCUAAAAGCCAAGCUGAGAACUAAUGUCAUGGUGCUGGCUGCAGCCAUUGUGCUAUGGAUUGAAAUGACCUCUGGAAACCCACUCAGAAUGUCUUGGCCAGUCAAGGCUUUAUUUACAUAAUAAAAGCUCUAUGUUUUUACAUGGGCUUGUGAAUGAAGAUGUUGGGAAAAAAGACAGCUAUGCAAUAAGAAUUUUAUGAAGAUCUCAAACAAGAUCACAGGAGAAAAAUUUUUCCUUUUCAGUUUAAUACACAACUUGGAGAGUUGUCUGUAAAUGCGGAUACCAAAUCAGGGCCAUGAAAUAUGUAUAUGUAGAAAUAGAAAAUAAACAUUUAAAAGUGGGAAAAGCUCUAAUACAGAAUUUCAGCAAGUUCUACUCCCCAAAAGCAAAUAGUUGUGAUACAAACUGAAUGACUGCUCCUUUUGCUGGGACUGGAGGUUGCUCCAUGUAUGACACAUUUCAGCGGUGCAGACCUGAAGCCUCAGUUGCACCUGGAAGCUGAAAUUCCCAGAGCCUGGAGAAAGCACAGCUCAGCACAGAACACAGGAGGCUGCACUUGAAGCCCUCCAGCCCCUCUGAGCAGUGAAGUAACAGAGCAAAAUUCAGUCCUGCAGACUGCUGGGAGCUUGAGAGCAAGGAGAAUAUUGCUUCUUAUCUACAGGCUGAGAUUGAAUCUCCUCCAGCUUCAGAGUUCUGCAAUACAGAUAUCUCUGUCUUAGCUAGAUUCUUUUUGAACUUGAUGGAGAGAAAGAGGCUCUCCAAGAGAGGGUUCAUAGGACUAUUUUGUGGGUUUUCUAAGGAAAAGAUUAGGUGACUUUUGUAACAUUCUGAGCUGGGUGAAAUGACAGAUUCUGCUCCCUAGGAAGUACAGAUAUUUCAUGCUGUUUCCUGUGGGAAUUGUUUGAUGAACAAGUUGAGUUAAAGCAACCUGCUGCUCUCUUGUUGUUUGAACUAGAGCUUCCCAAGUGGGCUAACUGUUGGAAUCUGCAGUGGUAGCUUUAAUGAAUAACUCAUAUUGGAGUAUUUUGUGGUUAAAAUGUAUGAGCAUGAAAUACUAUGAUACCAUGUUUCUUUCUAUGGAUGCAUUGGAACAAUCCAAGGUAAUAUCUUUGGGGUUUUUUUCUUCAAAUUUGGAUAUGAUGUCAGUAUGAAUUCUGAAUGUUUCCCUUCAGUAAAUUUGGUAUGAUAGCUUAUGGAGUAAAAAGUUCUCAAGAAUGAUGUAUCAAUUUCAGUUUGGUGUAUUGUUAUGUAUUUUUUUAAGAUAAUAGGAUUGGACAAAAGGUAGUAGCAUAAAUAUAUCCUCAUUAUCCCUAAAGGAAUACCUGGAAACAUUUUGUGAACUUCAAAACACACUGGCAUGUGAAAUUAAAAGUCACAUGAAUGAUUGAAAAUUAUUCUGUAUGUCCUGCUCUGGCAGUGGUAACUCAUGCAGCCCUAGAGCUUCCCUCCAGGUUCAGGGCUCUGUGUGCCCGAUCCAUGGCCCAAAGUGAAGCUGCUGCAGGAGGGGACAUCAGGGGAUGUUCCUUCCCUGAGUGUCCUGCACACCCCAGCUCAGCAUCCCCUGCUCUGAGCCCAAGCCUGGGCAAGAGGGAGCACUGCUCAGUGCAGCUGUGCUAUUCCUGCAGAGUCUGAAUCCACCCCUGCAGUGGAGGAGCCAUUGGAGCUUUAUGAAAGAUACUCUUAAAUCCCCAGUCUGCUCUUGCAAAUAUCAGCUCUCGGUUUAGUUCACCCUCAG